UCAUAGUAUAAUAAGGUAUAAAAAGUCAUAAAAAACGUCAUAGUAUAGUAAGGCAUAAAAACUCAUAAAAAACAUCAUAGUAUAGUAAGGUAUAAAAAGUCAUAGAAUAGUAAGGCAUAAAAAGUAAAAAAAAAAGUCAGAGUAUAGUAAGGUAUAAAAAGUCAUAGUAUAGUAAGGCAUAAAAAGUCAUAAAAAACGUCAUAGAAUAGUAAGGCAUAAAAAGUAAAAAAAAAAGUCAGAGUAUAGUAAGGUAUAAAAAGUCAUAAAAAAUGUCAUAGUAUAGUAAGGUAUAAAAAAUCAUA